GGAGACGGGCGGACGGGGAUGGGGCCGGGCCCCGGCGGGGAAAGCCGGUGCUGUCACAUCGCUGAAAUCACACCAUGUGCGAACCCGUGCUGGUUUUUCUCUUUUCACAUUCAAAAAGUAAUCUCUUUAUUUACCUGUUUAGUGCAAUUCCGGCGCGUUACCGAAUGUUGCGGUGUUGCCAUCAAGUUUAUCUCAAAUCUUCACGUUUUAUGAGGUAAAAAAUGGCUGAGACGGGCUCCUGAUCGAGGCUGAGUGACAACAGUCUUGUUACUUAAUCCGGAGAUGCAUUAUUGGUUUCUUCUGUGCAAAUACAUUUAAUGUUCUUGUGGCUAUGUUUUAGUAUGUGUUAUAGGUAUUUUUAGUGAUGCAGUGAUAACUUGUCCGUCUGAUUACCGGAUAUAGGGAGAAAAGUAUAAACUUAAAUUGCUGUAUAUGAAACUGAAGUCUCCUGUUUUAGCUAAGGUUAUCUGACACGAUCCAUUAUCUUUGUCACAUCUCAGCAGUUCUUCCCAAACUCUGCCCUGGUGACUGUCUACCCCAAGCUGUUUGGUUUGUUGAUUGAUUGAUUGAAGAGUACUAGCAGGAAUAGUGGGGUAAAGGAGAGAUGACUACUUGUGUCCAUACUUACGGCUACUAGGUGUUCAUAGUGCCUUAUAGUGAGAUUGUAACAUGAUGUAGUUGGUCAUGUUUGCAGUUUCUUGAGACUUGCCUUUAGAGCAGCCCAUUAUGGUCAGAUUAUAUACUUCUGAAAAACCUUUGGUGUAUGUAUGCUUCCUAGAAUAUGUCAGGAAAAUAUUGUCAAGACUUUUCCUGCUUUGGGAAUUUUGUGGUCUUUGAAGAACUGUUUUUGUGACAACUUUUAGCAGAUGGCUGUCAAAAAUGCAAGUAAACAAGCUGUGACUCCUCUAUGCUUGCUGUUUUUCAAGAGCUGGAGAGAGAGAUUAGCAAGGAGAAGGUAGGAACAGUGGUGGUUGACUGCCUGCAGGUGCCUCAACAACUGAUUUGCAGUCUCACAGUUUAAUGUACACAAAAGAACUCACAAUAAGAAACUGCUGAGAUGCCGGAGCCAGAGGAAAAUCUUGAGCCAAUGUUUCUACUUUUCAGGCAUAAAAUCAUUAUGAAAACUUGCAGGAAAUUUUGAUUUGUUGUUUUAGUUCUCUUGAGACUUUUUAUUUUCUAUGGAUGUGAAGUUUGAGCGUAUGUAUCAGUAUGACUGCAUUUGCCUGACAGUUCUUAACUACUGAUGAAAGCUACUGGAAGUUCUAGUAAGUUGUUACAGCUUUCAGGAAUGCUAAAUUCUUACAGGUGUCAUGAAAGUAACCACCAGAAAGGAAGAAAGAUUCCUUUAGCAUGGUUUGGAGGAGAAUUGUCUGAAGAGCUUGACCUUUUCUGUUUCUGUUAUUUGCAUGGCUGUUGUGGACCUGUGUUUUGGAAGUUACAAUAAAAGGGCAUAGGUUCACUUAGUCAAGCACUUAGAUAUUAGCAGAGAUGUAUAAUGAUUUUUUUUUCUCCAUGCAGUCUGGAAGUUACUUUGGAUUAUUUCUUCCCUUAGAUUCUUGUCUUAUCCUCCUCUUAUGUUUUAAUUUUGUUUUUGGUUUGUUUGUUUUUUUUAUCCCUCUUUCCACAGUUCCUCUGUCACAUUUAGUAUACGGGUGCUUCUGGAUUAGAUGUGACAUGAUAAUCAAAUAGUUGUUUGUGAGAUUGCUCCUGCAUUUGUUACAGAAACUAUGCAUAAGGAAUUAUUUUAGAUCAGUAUAAGCAUGUAGAAUCACAGCAUGAGUUGGGUUGAAACGGACCUUAAAGAUCAUCUAGUUCCAAGUCGUGGCCAAGGGCAGGGAUGCCACUCACUAGAUCAGGUUUCUCAGAGCCCCAUCCAACCAGGCCUUGGGCACUUCCAGGGAUGGGGCGUCCACAACCUCUCCUUGCCUUCUGUUGUCUGUUUUCUUCUGUAUAUCCUUCCUUCUCUGCAUCCUUAUUUGUAUUUUUUGUUUGUGAACAUAAUCCCUAGAGGGCAGCAGAGUAAGCAAUGCAUUCAGAAGGUGUAAAUUGGGCCAGUCUAGAGAUUCUCUUGAUGAGCCUCUCAUUCAUUAUCUCUUUUCAUUCUUGGAGAUAAUGCUUUCCCCUUAAAACGUAUUUCUCAAGUCAUAGCUUCAGGGGGAAGGUUUGUGUUUGGGCAGGAAGGCAGGGAUCCUUGGAGUACAAAGUGGAUUGCAACAGAGAGGAAGGGAAUUGGGGAGUAGACAAGUUGCAGACAAGAAAGAUGAAGUAGUUGCUUCUUUCCUUUUAGUGAAAUUGCUAAAAAGUAGAAACAGAAGCACAAAAGGAAAUAGCUUUCCCUAUCCAUUAAUUAACUCAGCUUAAAACCUAAACGGCUUCUGAGGAUGCUUCACACAGGGUUGAAGCCUCUUGCAGUUUUUGUUAGUGUGGAUUCUUUUGCUAGAGUGGAAUUCAUUGCUUAAAACCAGAUUUAUAUUAGGGUGUAGACUCCUGCAUAUUAUUACCUUACAGUGAAGGUUAAUUAACAGCAUUAAGUGUUGAGUGGUGAGCUAGGGGAAAGUAAAGACUGUUUAUUCAGAAUAAACUAUAUUUUUAAACCUAGGUUUUAACAUGCCAGUAUUACUAUAGAAUCAUUUAGGAUGGAAAUGACCUCUAAAAUGAAGUCCAGCCAUUAAGCCAAGUCCAUCACUAAACCACAUCCCUAAGUGCCAUGUCCAUGCUUCUUUUAACUACUGCCAGGAUGGUGACUCCACUGCUUCCUUGGGCAGCCUGUUCCAAUGCUUGACUAUUUCUGUGAAGGAAGUUUUCCAGAUAUCCAAUCUAAACCUCUCCUGGUGCAACUUGAGGCUGUUUCUUCUCAUCCAAUCUAUUACUACCUGUGAGAAGAGACCAAUCCCCACCUUGCUAUUGUCUCCUUUCAGGCAGUUGUAGACAGCCAUGAUGAAUAUUCCCCCCAGCCUUCUUCUUUCCAGGCUAAACAACCCCAGCCCGCUCAGCUGCUCCUCAUAAAAUUCACGAUCCAGACCCUUCACCAGCUUUGUUGCUCUUUGGAUUCUCUUCAGCACCUCUAAUAUGUUAUGCCCAUCUCACCUAUUAAAUUUCUAACUAAUUAGAUUUUAGGUCAAGGAAAAGAAUUGCAGAUCACAUGUUUGGCCUUUUUAUCUUAUGGUGACAGUUUCAUGCCUUCAGGUUUUUUUUUGGAAGAGCAUUUUGACAGUUUCCUGUUUUGGGAAUGUUGCUUUACACCAUUUAAAAUCUGUGUCUUUAAAUAUUUUUGGAAACAGGUCAACAGAUUUGUGAUGCUUCUCCAGAAAAAUUGUAGAUAGAUGAUGUGUGUUGUGUGAAACCCAAGAAAAUAGGAUGACUGUGGAAACCUUUUGGCAAUAUCCAGCCUAGAAGCUUGUGCUUUGAUGUGAAGGUUUAUAAUUGUUCCAUAAAGAAAAGUAAGCUCUUUGUCAUCAUAAACACAUUAAGAAAAGCAUGCCUGGGAUCAAGGUAAUUUCAGAUAAAUUUACACUGCUUGGAGUCUGUUCACGCCUCUGCUGGAAAAUAUAUAGGUGUCAUCUGUCAAGUACUGUGUUACUUUUAUAUUAAACACAUCUAGGCCUGCUGGGUGGCUUAGAGUGGACAGGGUGAGAUUUAUUAGUUCUUUUACACUGGUGGUUGUUGCUGUGUUUCAUUCAGCAUUCUUGAAUUUUCCAAAGACUUAACUUUUUAGUGGAACCAAUGGAAGAUGGUGGAUUUUCUACAGCUCUGGAAAAUCAGGCCUUCAGUCUCAAGCUGAAUAUAGCACUUACUAGUAUUUUUGAAUUUUAGUCUUAAUGUUUUAAGGUAGAAAUUAGUAAAAAUGGGUUCUAUAACUGGCCAUUAAAAUGCAACAACAAAGCAUUUGCUAACUUCCUUUCUACUGUUAAUAUCCCCCAACUGAGAUUUUUUUGCUGUCUUACUUUUUGUAGUGCUGUCUUCCAGUUACAGGUUUCAAGAGUUAUCUGCUUUCCAGAUCUGAAUGGAAUUUUUCUGCAUCAGGACAGUUGGUUGUCUGUCGCUGUGCUAACUUGAAGAGGUGACCAUUUGCUUUUCUGUAGAAAAGUAUACACUGUUUCUUAGAAGUCCAUGUGUUAUGGAGCUGUGCUGGAUUUUGAAGGGUUUUAUUUGGAGGAGAGGUUGAUUUCUGGCUGUUGAUAAACCUUCCAUAACUGAAAAAGUACAAGGAGUUGGUAUAGUAAAAGUCUUAAGGUAAGAAACUUUAUAGAAUAUGUCACUUCCAAGCAGGAAUUCUGAGUCCAUGUAAGGCAAAACCUAUACAAUAUAAGCUCUGUGCAAGAAAUCUAUUCACUGUGCUGAGGAUAGUUUUGUGCUGGGUACUCUUCAAGGUGUGUUUCUUGGAGAGGCUGCUGGAAAAGGGGCACUAGCACACACACUACACACAGGUAGAUGCUUCUCUCCAGAAAGCAAACAAUGAGGCUUUUAAGACUUGGGCUUUUAAAAUUUACCAAAGAGUUUAGGCUCUUUAAGUCUGAUUCAGUAUUAUUCUCUAUAUAUAGUAGAAUACAAAGAAAAAAAAAAGAGGACCUGCUAGCUAGCACAAGCAUAUUCCUAACUAGGAGUUAUUUUUCUGAAUCUGGGCCUAAACCAUGUAAUUUUCAGUUUUAUUCUUUGGACAGUAUAUGGUGAAAACCUAGAAUUAAAAGUGUUUUUUAAAAAUGUUGUUACAUUAGAGACUACUAAACAACAGUUGAGAGAUAAAGAUGCAGUUAGUAACAAUACAGUAAUUCAGCCUGCAGAGCUCCUUGCUCCUUUACAAAAAACAAUCACCCAGAACUAUGGGUUCCUAGGCUUAUUGUGGGCAGGGCAUGCAAAUAAAAUUAUUUGUUACAAUUACUUAGCAGGUCCCUGCAUUCUGUUAGAAUUCAAGCAAGCUGCAUCUGAACUGCUUAAGUUUGCCUUGUUUUAUAUUGAGAGACACAGGAAAUAUGAGGCCAGUAAAAUGCACAAUAAAAUUGUUAAUAAAAAAAAUCCCACCAAACCUGGAACCAGAGAAGCCAUGGGUAUUUUCUGUCCCUUCUCUAAGUAACAACAUCAGUGGGUCACUGCCUCUGCUGUCAUAGUAGCUGUUGUCCCAAACAGGGUGUGUGGGGGCUUUUUUGUUCUGAGGGUUUUAUCUUUUUCCCUCCUUAACUCUGGGAAUCCAGGGUGCUUCCUCCUGUUGAAAUAAAUGGAGAUGGACAUGCUGCCCAAAUGAGGAAAAAUUUUCUAUGCCCUUUUGAGGUGUUCUUUAAGGAGGAACAGUUCCUCCCUGUUAGCCCACACUCCAAAUGUUAGAUGUAUAAAUAAAAACUGGCUGUGUACUCCCUCAUCAGUUUUAUUUUGAGAUUUUUUUUCUUUCCUUUCAGAACAUUGGAUUUUUUUAGUUAUUUUUCCAUAAUUGUUAUCCAUAAAAAGUCUGGAGGAAAUUCAGUCAUUCCAAAACUAGAAAAGUGUUAAUAUUUACUGUUUGACAAAUUUGUUAUGGCUGCUUGGAAAUACUAACAUAACUCGGUUCCUAGGUCUACAGAAUGCUGUGCAACUGGAUAUUUCUUUGAGUUUAUAGAAAUAAUUGGACCUUUAGGAGCCUCAGGCUGAACUUUACCAGUGUCUUGAGAUAGUGGAGAAAGAAAUUGAACAGUUUCAGUAAGAUGCAUAGAUAUCUUCUCAAAUUCUUUCCUUUUGAUGGACACGUGCUUGUUAAACUACUGACUUACCUUAAUGAAACCUUAGUUUUAAGGACUUCUGUUUCUCAUUGCUCUUCCCACUAAUAAGAUAACAAAUAAGUUAAUCAUGAGCAACUAAGUAUUCAUGGAUGCUUUUACUUAACAGGAGGCCUUUGCCUGCGUUCCUUUGGGGGUAAGAAUUUGUACAAUGAUGACUGCUUUAUUGAUUUGAAUGUAAAAAUAAAUAAAGUUACAAUUGUUUUUCCAUCUUA